GUGGAUUAGAUACCCUGGUAGUCCAUGCCGUAAACGUUGGGUGCUAGGUGUGGGGACCUUCCACGGUUUCCGUGCCGCAGCUAACGCAUUAAGCGCCCCGCCUGGGGAGUACGGCCGCAAGGCUAAAACUCAAAGGAAUUGACGGGGGCCCGCACAAGCGGCGGAGCAUGCUGAUUAAUUCGAUGCAACGCGAAGAACCUUACCUGGGUUUGACAUAUGCCGGAAAGCUGCAGAGAUGUAGCCCCCCUUGUGGUCGGUAUACAGGUGGUGCAUGGCCGUCGUCAGCU
rnacentral:rRNA from 1 species